rnacentral:rRNA from 1 species
CCUACGGGUGGCAGCAGUAGGGAAUCUUCCACAAUGGGCGAAAGCCUGAUGGAGCAACGCCGCGUGGGUGAAGAAGGUCUUCGGAUCGUAAAACCCUGUUGUUAGAGAAGAAAGUGCGUGAGAGUAACUGUUCACGUUUCGACGGUAUCUAACCAGAAAGCCACGGCUAACUACGUGCCAGCAGCCGCGGUAAUACGUAGGUGGCAAGCGUUAUCCGGAUUUAUUGGGCGUAAAGGGAACGCAGGCGGUCUUUUAAGUCUGAUGUGAAAGCCUUCGGCUUAACCGGGGUAGUGCAUUGGAAACUGGGAGACUUGAGUGCCGAAGAGGAGAGUGGAACUCCAUGGGUAGCGGUGAAAUGCGUAGAUAUAUGGAAGAACAGCAGUGGCGAAAGCGGCUUUCUGGUCUGUAACUGACGCUGAGGUUCGAAAGCGUGGGUAGCAAACAGGAUUAGAUACCCCAGUAGUC